ensembl:snRNA U6 U6 spliceosomal RNA
GUGCCCACUUCGGCAGCACAUACACUAAAACUGGAAUGACAGAGAAGAUCAGUGUGGCCCCUGCACAGGAUGAUGCGCAAAUUCGUGAAGCAUUCCAUAUUUUU